GACGUAGGGCGCAAGCGUUGUCCGGAAUUAUUGGGCGUAAAGAGCUCGUAGGCGGUCUGUUACGUCUGCUGUGAAAACCCAGGGCUUAACCCUGGGCUUGCAGUGGAUACGGGCAGACUAGAGGCAGGUAGGGGAGAAUGGAAUUCCCGGUGUAGCGGUGAAAUGCGCAGAUAUCAGGAGGAACACCGGUGGCGAAGGCGGUUCUCUGGGCAUUACCUGACGCUGAGGAGCGAAAGUGUGGGGAGCGAACAGG
rnacentral:rRNA from 1 species